rnacentral:rRNA from 1 species
AUUGAACGCUGGCGGCAUGCCUUACACAUGCAAGUCGAACGGCAGCACGGGGGCAACCCUGGUGGCGAGUGGCGGACGGGUGAGUAAAGCAUCGGAACGUAUCCUGGAGUGGGGGAUAACGUAGCGAAAGUUACGCUAAUACCGCAUAUUCUGUGAGCAGGAAAGCAGGGGAUCGCAAGACCUUGCGCUCUGGGAGCGGCCGAUGUCGGAUUAGCUAGUUGGUGGGGUAAAGGCCUACCAAGGCGACGAUCUGUAGCUGGUCUGAGAGGACGACCAGCCACACUGGAACUGAGACACGGUCCAGACUCCUACGGGAGGCAGCAGUGGGGAAUUUUGGACAAUGGGCGCAAGCCUGAUCCAGCCAUUCCGCGUGCAGGAUGAAGGCCUUCGGGUUGUAAACU